AUACCGUGACGAGGGAGGCUUCACGGUGGAGGCAGAUGUAAUAUUCCACCGGCGAUGGGCAUCAUGUGUUUGAUGAUGUUGAAUGGUGUAACACGGGGUUGGUCGGUCGGAAAAAGGAUCGUGCGGUGGUUGAAGGUGGGUCGCGGCGGAAGAUUCGUCGGCGACGGUUGGGUUUGUAGAUCUGAAGUAGUAAAAGGGAGUGACGUUUUGGACGUUGCCGAAGAGGGUGUAUGAAGGAAACAGACUGUGAUUCCGUGAUGAGGAGAGUUUUGUCGUGGUGAUGGUGUUUCCAACGGAAGAAUCGUUUGCCGGCGGAACUUAAAAAAGAAGAAGGAGAGGUGUGUUGUGCGGCGUUGGGAUUUCACGGUGAAACGAAGGUAAGUGGUGGUUGGAAACAGAAGUCGGCACAGUGAGGUGUGGUGGAGGCACAGAAGGCGGAAGGAGAAAAAUCCACUGUGAGAGAAAUCCCCUCCUUUUUAUUUUCCUUUUUCUUUUUUAUGCUGAGCCAGAGAUUGGACAGUAGUGUCCGUUGGUUUUCAUCAUAGUGAACCCUCUUCCAAAUUGUUGAUGUUGGUUGGAGAUAUAGUGGUCUUUUUCCCAAGUGAAUUUUUUUUGGAAAGAAGAAAAAACUCCUUCUUUAUUUUUUUUUCUUUUUUACCGUCGGAGAGAGGAAUCGUGUGAGAAAGAGGAAGCGUGAGGGAGAGAGGGAAGCGUGCAUGUAGGUAGUGUGUGAGAGAGGGUGAGGUCAGUGUGAUAGCUGAGAGAGAUAUGAGGGAAACGUGAGAGAGUGAAGGAAACCUGUGUGAGAGGAUUUUUGUGGAUUGGAGAGAGAGCCUCAAGAUUUUCCCUAUUAUUUCUUCAUUUCAUUUUAUUAUUAAUUAAUUCAAUUUUUUAUAGAUGAAUAGCAACGCACAUGGUGUGCCAAUAUUGACAACUGAUUAAUUUGAAUCAUCCAUUCAGAGUAAAACAAAACCAGUCAAAAUUGCAAUGUUAUCUUCUUUAAAUGAUUUAAUUGGUUUAACAACUGAUUAAUUUGAAUCAUCCAUUCAGAGUAAAACAAAACCAGUCAAAAUUGCAAUGUUAUCUUCUUUAAAUGAUUUAAUUGGUUUAAAGGGGAUUAAAUCAAUCAAUUCAAAUAAAAAUUCACAACUUCCUAAAUAAAUAUGAUAAAAGUGAAAUGAAAAUGUGAAAAUUCCUAUUUAUUCAAAUCGAAUAUUUUGGUGAAAAAUAAAAUUAAAAUGACUAACAAUGAACAAAAGUCGGGCAAAAGUUUGCUCGAAAAAUUAAAUCGGAUGUACUAAAAUGAUCGGUACAAAAUAUACUUAUAAAAAAAAUACAGCGUUUCUUUAAAUUUUGAAAUAAAUUUGCACCAGUUAAAAGGCUCAGGCGGGUCAAAACGCAACUGAAAUAGCCGCUGAAAAAUACAACGAGCACACCAGGUUAAACUACGUGAACCCUAGAUUAAUAAUACUGGCGUCUGCAAUUUUAAUUUUGAAACUUUUUACCCGUUGAUUUUGCAUGUUCUUGAGAAACGAAUCAACCAGUUUGUAUGUAUUUUUAAUAAACUUAUUCUGACUGAUAUUUUAGUUAUUAUUCAUGAUGGAAUGCAUGUCAUGCUGUGCAUAUGAUGCAAAUUAAAAAUGAAAUCAAAUUUACAAAAAUUUAAAUAUGCCCAGACAAAAUUGGGGUAUGACAUUAAGCAUUUUCAUUCAUUGUUAUAUUUUAAUUCUAUUUUCGUGAUUUUAUGCGUGUGAUAACUGUGUUUUUGUCCGACAGGUCCAGGUAGAAGAACCAGGAAACUCAGAGCGACACAAUGCGAGAUUCCGGCAAACAAAGGAGUGGAAAAC
rnacentral:lncRNA from 1 species